rnacentral:rRNA from 1 species
AGAGUUUGAUCCUGGCUCAGAUUGAACGCUGGCGGCAUGGCUAAAACAUGCAAGUCGAACGCGAAAGUUCUUUUCGGAGAGCGAGUAGAGUGGCGAAAGGGCGAGGAAUACAUUUCUAACGUGCCCCGAGGUCGAGGAUAGCCCAGGGAAACCUGGAUUAAUACUCGAUGAUCUCCGGUUGUCGAAUGUCGACCGGAGCAAAGGUUUACUGCCUUGGGAUCGGGAAAUGUGCUAUCAGCUUGUUGGUAAGGUAACGGCUUACCAAGGCUCAGACGGCUAGCGGGUGUGAGAGCAUGACCCGCCGCAUCGGGACUGAGACACUGCCCGGACUCCUACGGGAGGCUGCAGUAACGAAUAUUCCGCAAUGCGCGAAAGCGUGACGGAGCAAUGCCGCGUGUGGGAUGAAUCUCUUCGGAGUGUAAACCACUGUCAGAGGCUAGAAACACAAUGAUCAACCUCAAAGGAAGAGCCGGCUAACUUCGUGCCAGCAGCCGCGGUAAUACGAAGGGCUCAAGCGUUAAUCGGAAUCACUGGGCUUAAAGGGUACGUAGGCGGACUAGUAAGUAUCUUGUGAAAUCCCAUGGCUUAACCAUGGAACUGCUGGGUAUACUGCUAGUCUUGAGAUUGGUAGGGGCUGCUGGAACUCUAGGUGGAGCGGUGAUAUGCAUAGAUAUCUAGAGGAACGUCAAAGGCGAAGGCAAGCAGCUGGGCCAAUUCUGACGCUGAGGUACGAAAGCGUGGGUAGCGAACGGGAUUAGAUACCCCGGUAGUCCACGCCCUAAACGAUGUACACUAGAUCCGGGAGGUUCUGACACCCUCCGGGUCGGAGGAAAACUUUUAAGUGUACCGCCUGGGGAGUACGGUCGCAAGAUUAAAACUCAAAGGAAUUGACGGGGGCUCACACAAGCGGUGGAGCAUGUGGCUUAAUUCGAAACAACGCGAAGAACCUUAUCCUGGGUUUGACAUAUACGGAUUAGCUACUAGAAACAGUAGUGACACUCUUGCAGUGGAACGUAUACAGGUGCUGCAUGGCUGUCGUCAGCUCGUGUCGUGAGAUGUCGGGUUAAGUCCCUUAACGAGCGAAACCCCUAUCACUAGUUGCCAGCGCGUCAUGGCGGGGACUCUAGUGAGACUGCCGGUGUCAAACCGGAGGAAGGUGGGGAUGACGUCAAGUCCUCAUGGCCUUUAUGCCCAGGGCUGCACACGUGCUACAAUGGUGCGUACAGAGCGAAGCGAAGUCGCAAGGCGGAGCAAAUCGCAAAAAGCGCACCCCAGUUCGGAUUGUGGUCUGCAACUCGACCACAUGAAGGUGGAAUCGCUAGUAAUCGCGUAUCAGCAAUGACGCGGUGAAUAAGUUCCUGAGCCUUGUACACACCGCCCGUCAAGUCAUGGAAGCCGGUAGUACCCGAAGUCGCAACGAUUCAGUUGUGCCUACGGUAAGAUCGGUGACUGGGACUAAGUCGUAACAAGGUA